rnacentral:rRNA from 1 species
UACAGAGGUCCCAAGCGUUGUUCGGAUUCAUUGGGCGUAAAGGGUGCGUAGGUGGCGUGGUAAGUCGGGUGUGAAAUCCCGGGGCUCAACCCCGGAACUGCACUCGAUACUGCCGUGCUCGAGUACUGGAGAGGAGACUGGAAUUUACGGUGUAGCAGUGAAAUGCGUAGAUAUCGUAAGGAAGACCGGUGGCGAAGGCUAGUCUCUGGACAGUUACUGACACUGAGGCACGAAGGCCAGGGGAGCAAACGGG